rnacentral:rRNA from 1 species
CCUACGGGAGGCUGCAGUGAGGAAUAUUGGUCAAUGGACGGAAGUCUGAACCAGCCAUGCCGCGUGCAGGAAGACGGCUCUAUGAGUUGUAAACUGCUUUUGUACAAGGGUAAACCUGAAUACGUGUAUUCAGCUGAAAGUACUGUACGAAUAAGGAUCGGCUAACUCCGUGCCAGCAGCCGCGGUAAUACGGAGGAUCCAAGCGUUAUCCGGAUUGAUUGGGUUUAAAGGGUGCGUAGGCGGAUUGAUAAGUUAGAGGUGAAAUGUCCGAGCUUAACUCGGGAACUGCCUCUAAUACUGUUGAUCUAGAGAGUAGAUGCGGUAGGCGGAAUGUAUGGUGUAGCGGUGAAAUGCUUAGAGAUCAUACAGAACACCGAUUGCGAAGGCAGCUUACCAAUCUAUAUCUGACGUUGAGGCACGAAAGCGUGGGGAGUAAACAGGAUUAGAUACCCCAGUAGUC